rnacentral:rRNA from 1 species
UUCCAGCUCCAAUAGCGUAUAUUAAAGUUGUUGCGGUUAAAAAGCUCGUAGUCGAAUCUGUGUCUCGCGCCGCCGGUUCAUCGUACGCGGUGUUAACUGGCGUGCCGCGGGACGUCCUGCCGGUGGGCUUAGCUCGCAAGGGCGGCCCGACUCAAUCCCGCCGCGGUGCUCUUCAUUGAGUGUCGAGGUGGGCCGGCACGUUUACUUUGAACAAAUUAGAGUGCUUAAAGCAGGCUAAAAUUUUGCCUGAAUACUGUGUGCAUGGAAUAAUGGAAUAGGACCUCGGUUCUAUUUUGUUGGUUUUCGGAACCCCGAGGUAAUGAUUAAUAGGAACGGAUGG